rnacentral:misc_RNA from 1 species
CCAAGCCAUCGGAGCCUUAAACCCGCUCCGGCGUUGGCCCACCCUUGUCGAUCGCACCUGUUGCUUCGGUCCGUCGCCGGGAGGGUCGCCUCGCAGGAGGCCGCCCGAUCGGCCUGGACCGAAGGGCACCGAACUCCUUUCUGAACCUUUGCAGUCUGAUCAUCGGUUAAUGAAACA